AGAAGGACACGUGUGAGUAAAGACACCCUCACGCCAAUUAGAAGCAGCAAGUCCAAACCUUGCACCCUUUGGCUAGCGGAGCGAGUUUUCACGGUGCUCAUGCUGGUUCGAGAAUAAAGAGCUAUUGCACCCGUUGAGACUCUGCCAUCAUUAAGAAAGCCAAGGGCUGCUACA